CGAAAGCCUGACGGAGCAACGCCGCGUGAGGGAUGAAGGCCUCUGGGCUGUAAACCUCUUUUCUCAAGGAAGAAGAUCUGACGGUACUUGAGGAAUAAGCCACGGCUAAUUCCGUGCCAGCAGCCGCGGUAAUACGGGAGUGGCAAGCGUUAUCCGGAAUUAUUGGGCGUAAAGCGUCCGCAGGCGGCCGUACAAGUCUGUCGUUAAAGCGUGGAGCUUAACUCCAUUUGAGCGAUGGAAACUGUAAGGCUUGAGUGUGGUAGGGGCAGAGGGAAUUCCCGGUGUAGCGGUGAAAUGCGUAGAUAUCGGGAAGAACACCAGUGGCGAAGGCGCUCUGCUGGGCCAUAACUGACGCUCAUGGUCGAAAGCCAGGGGAGCG
rnacentral:rRNA from 1 species